GAAAAAAUGGGUGACAGAAUAGCGUUGUCGUCUACUGUAAAGAUAAAAUACAAACACACAUCUAAAGUUGUGCCCAUAAUAGUCAACAGACUCUACAGUUUCUCCAAACACUGUACAUGGAAUGAGGUUUUGAAUGAUUUGACAGCGGACGGCGACCAUAACAUAGACAAGUUGGACGAAGUAACUGUCACCGUGUCGGACAAACUUGCCAACGGUGUAACUUUUGAGCCAGAUUUUGAAGAACAGAUACAAGUGGUUCACAACUUUGAUAAAAAAUUGAAAUAUGUACAAUUUGACGUGAUAAGAGACUUAGAACCAAAUAACAAUGUACCAAAAGGUCAAAAUCCUCCUACAUGUCCUACAGCUUUCGAUGUUUUGAUGAGAAAGUCCAGCACACUGACAAAGCUCCCUCAAAAGAUUGAUGAAGCCUCUCCCAGAUUUACAGGUAAUUUAUAUGCAUUAUUAUAUUUCUAUCAAGUAGGUUUGAGAUGGUGUAUGGCUCAUGUCUUAAAGUUAUAAAUGAGUCUGUCCCACACCAUUUCAUUUCUUUCUUCAAUGUUCCCAAACUUUUGGUCUGGGGAAAUUUAUGGUAGGGGGUGUAAAAACGGUAAAUUCCUAGGGGAAGUGCUGCCCAAAUUUUUUUCAACAUUGGACUUUGUCAUUUUUUCACAUUUUAAAGGGUCGCAGCUAUACAUUUGUGAGGGGGUGGACAGGGGUGUCUCCAAUUCCCUCGAGAUUUAAGAGCCUUGAAGCACACAACAGAUAAAUAUGACUACACUUGCGGGGCAAUUUUAGCACCAGAAGGGGAUGUUCUACACGGAAAAGUUUUCACAAGACUCCAGCUUGCAUGUACCAGUCACAUUGAAUUUGCAUACUACAGCUCGGAUGUUGGCCGCAAAGACAUAUGUGCAUAUUGUGUUGCAACAGAGAUCCAAAAGGACAAGGACUUGUGCAAAAACUUUAAAGUUGUGCUGCCAGUUUGUGACUUGUGUCGUUCAAAAAAAUUGGAAGUCCCAAAGAGAAAUCCAAUUAAGAAAUAGUUAAUUCUAGUCUGACAAUCAGUUAAUUCUAGUCUGAUAUUCAUCCUCUCUAAGUCAUUCUUUUUAACAUGUUGUUUAUGAUUUUUGUUUCUACUUGUUUCUAGUCAAGAAUAAAUGUUUUUUGUUUAUUUUCA